UGUCUUUUGGAGUCUUGAGCUUCAUUGCCACGGUGCUUGGACCGGACUUUUUGUUCUUCUUGUUCUUCUUCUUGGCUUUCUUGUCACUGCCGGCUCCUUUCGCUGUCUUCGCCAUUGAAACUGUGCCAAAGGAGGGGGACAAAGAGAAAGAAGGAGCUCUGGCCGAGGGUUUAGGGUUUAGAGUAGUUUUUUUUUGCUCGGU
rnacentral:misc_RNA from 1 species